AUUCUCCUUCGUUUCUCCACCAAAUCGAUCGAGUAAGGCAUCAGAGGUCCAGCCGAUCAGCAUGAGGAAGCUUCAAAAGGUCAAAUUAGCUUGGACCAUCCGCCGUAGAAGGACGCGGGAUCCACCACCGGGCCAAU